UUGGAAGAUAAGCUACUUGGAUGCGGACUCAGAACUGCUGAGAUGGAGUGAGAGGCACAUUUGAUUGGUUGGGAGUCCCUCGAGAGAUGGCCCUGAUCUGAUCUUACUGGAAUCUGCAACUCCUGUAAAAUGCUGCCCGGGGCAUGACUCACGGAGGUGAUGUCCAAACCACUGCCUCCAUCCCGGCCCACCAGGCUCCUCCCUCUUUCUGCAGCUGCAACCCGAGAGGCCUUUGCUCCCUCCAGGGAGGGGCCCUGGGACCUGGCGUCAGCUUCCUCGCCUGGCCAGCUGCCUCUGCACACUGCAGGUUGCCCGGAUGUCCUGGAUUUCAGGGCAGAGCAGCAUGUUGGGAGAGCCCAGACAGCAGAAGUCUCCUCAUCUCAGGACACGAACUCCAGAGGGGCAGAGACACUUGGUCUCUCUUGUUCUCUCCUGCACCUCCAGCUCCUAGAAUGGAGCUUGGCACACUGCAGAGACUCGGGCUGCCCUCCUGCAUCGUCAUGGCUGUAGAAACCCCAUUCACUGCACCAGGCCUCACAGCGUGACCAUCAGUGGGCGCGUCAGUUCCGUCAGCCCUCGCUGUGGAGGGCUCCGGCAUGGAGCUAGUUGCUGCGGAUUACAAAGAAGAAAAAGGCCCCUGCUCUCAGCGGAGGUCACGGUCUAACAGAGGAAAGCCACAGGGGAGCAGCCAGUAAAGCUAACUGCUUCAAUAAUUCAGACUUCUGUGCAAGCAGAGAGAAGGGGUACCUGACUUUGACCUUGCUUGUGGGACCGGGAGUGGGGGAAGGGAGGGAAGCAGAUAUGGAGGCAGUGAUCCGGGGGCAGGCAGGUGAACGUGAGAGGGUGGCCCAGGAGCCCAGGAAGGAGAUGAAGCAAGCACAAGGGGCUGAGGGAAGCCCCACCGAGUGCUCUGUCACCUGGGACAGCUGGGAACAGGAACCCUGGGCCUCAGCCAGUUGGCUGGAGAGAUGCAGCGAUGGGAAUUGUCUCCUGGCUAUGGACGCUCACUGGUCAAAGUUUAUCCCUUGGGGCUUUGAGUCCCCAUCGAGGCCUCUCGAGAAGCUGCUGGGGAGAUCAGAUCCCAGGUCCUGCUACAUGGAGCUUCAUGCAAGCCUAGACAUGAUGGGAGGAGCAGUCUCCACGAGGCUGCUGUGCCCGCACACCUGGGUACCAGAGCUGCCGUGGCUCCCACCUGGCAA